GGGGAGGGCUACAUGGCAGUCGAGGGGCAUCGUGGAGGGAAGCUUGCUUUCCUUGCCGGCGACCGGCGCACGGGUGAGUCAACACGUAUGCAACCUGCCCUCUUCAGGGGGACAACCUUCCGAAAGGGAGGCUAAUCCCGCGUAUAUCGGUUUCGGGCAUCCGAGAUCGAGGAAAGAUUCAUCGGAAGAGGAUGGGCAUGCGGCGCAUUAGCUUGACGGCGGGGUAACGGCCCACCGUGGCGACGAUGCGUAGGGGUUCUGAGAGGAAGGUCCCCCACACUGGUACUGAGACACGGACCAGACUCCUACGGGAGGCAGCAGUGAGGAAUAUUGGUCAAUGGGAGAGAUCCUGAACCAGCCAAGCCGCGUGAGGGAAGACGGCCCUAUGGGUUGUAAACCUCUUUUGUCGGAGAACAAAACCCGGGACGUGUCCCGGACUGCGUGUAUCCGAAGAAAAAGCAUCGGCUAACUCCGUGCCAGCAGCCGCGGUAAUACGGAGGAUGCGAGCGUUAUCCGGAUUUAUUGGGUUUAAAGGGUGCGUAGGCGGUCCGUUAAGUCAGCGGUAAAAUUGCGGGGCUCAACCCCGUCGAGCCGUUGAAACUGGCAGACUUGAGUUGGCGAGAAGUACGCGGAAUGCGCGGUGUAGCGGUGAAAUGCAUAGAUAUCGCGCAGAACUCCGAUUGCGAAGGCAGCGUACCGGCGCCCGACUGACGCUGAGGCUCGAAAGCGUGGGGAUCGAACAGGAUCAGA
rnacentral:rRNA from 1 species